AGCGAACGCUGGCGGCAGGCCUAACACAUGCAAGUCGAACGAACUCGUCGGAGUUAGUGGCGGAGGGGGGGGGAAGACGGGGGAACGUGCCUGUUGGUUCGGAAUAACUCAGGGAAACUUGUGCUAAUACCGCAUGUGCCCAUCGGGGGAAAGAUUUAUCGCCAUUAGAGCGGCCCGCGUCUGAUUAGCUGGUUGGUGAGGUAACGGCUCACCAAGGGGACGAUCAGUAGCUGGUCUGAGAGGAUGCCCUGCCACACUGGGACUGAGACCCGGCCCAGACUCCUACGGGAGGGAGCAGUGGGGAAUCUUACGCGAUGGGCGAAAGCCUGACGCAGCCAUGCCGCGUGAAUGAUGAAGGUCUUAGGAUUGUAAAAUUCUUUCACCGGGGACGAUAAUGACGGUACCCGGAGAAGAAGCCCCGGCUAACUUCGUG
rnacentral:rRNA from 1 species